UCUCUCUCAAAUUCAGAGCAUAUUCGUCGUAAGGAAAGCGCCCUUCUGACAAGGUCUCUAGAAAGCUCUCUGUCAAGUUCUUCUCCGACCUCCAACGAGGACGCUGAUGUCGAUGCAUGCCUGCCUCCCUUGGUUCCUUCACCAGCCGCAAAUUCUCUGUCAUCUCCCCUUCCCCGAAGAUCUACUAUCUCCUGCGAUUACUUCUCCAGCACAUAGAGCAGUUCCCGAGACAAUUCAUAACUGCAAUGAAGCUUCAUCUGAUCAUGCGUUACUCAGGAUAUGGCUUUGGUCUUAAAGUCAAAUUCCGCUCAUCUCUCUCCCUCUCUGAACUGCUCCCCCGGGCCCACUACUCCCUGUAGAAAUUUGGUGGCCCAACCAAAUAAAUCCUCUGCAGGUCUAUCCCCUUUCUCCAAUUCGGUGGACAGUCUCAAUAUCCGUAAAACACAGACUAAGAAACUCAAAGCUCUCAAAGCUAAGUCCCGUCUUCAACGAAAGUUCGUGAAGAAGAAGAUGAAGAAGAACAGAGGGAAGAGAGCAACGAAGGAUUGCGUCCCUAGCUCUCCGCAGCAAGUUCCUCCUUCGUUUCGGGAAGAUUCGAUCUUUGAUUAUUGUAUCUUGAACAGAAAGAGACUCAUUUGCUCCCAAGUUCCAGCUUUGCUUGAUGCAGCCGAUGUCCCCAAUAAAAUUGAUGGAAAUCUCUUGGGUGCAACUAACACCUCUGAAGCUGAGAAGACAUGGCAGCUACGGAAAAGCCUCGGGUUAAAGGCAACCGGAGAUGAAUUGGCGGCGGUAAGGAAGUUUGAAGAGCUGAUUGCCCGGGAGGAGGCUAAAUGGUAGCAGCUCAAUUUAGUAUCUUAAGCUACCAGAUUUUGGGGUUCUAUCUCUUUGCUCAAUGGUUGGAUUACUUUCUUGGAAUUAUCUGGGUCUAGGAACUUCUGCUAAGAGAAGGGCUGCCCAUAUAUUGGUGAAGAAACACAGGAUUGAUGUAUUAUGUCUUCUCGAGACAAAAGUUACUACUGUGGACGAAUCAAUAAUUAAUGCGGUAUGGGGGCGAUAUAACAGAAGUUUGGAGUUUAUUACUGCUGAGGGUCUCCUCGGGGGAAUUAUUGUAGUAUGGCGUACUGAUUCUUUUUGCGCGAACUUCUUCAUUCGAUCUUGCGAUGGAGUUUUAAGCAUGAAAGGCAAUAUCUGUGAAGGGAAAAAAGACUGCUUGGUUCCUGCAGUUUAUGCUUAUACUAAUCCUGCUCCUCGGAAUAAUUUAUGGCACCAGAUCGAAAUCGACCUUGGUUCCUCCACUCUACCUUGGUGUCUUAUCGGUGAUUUCAAUGAAGUCUUGGUCCCUGAGGAACGUAUUAAUGCAGGUCGCUCCCUUUCUACCAGCUCAACCGGAAUGCGGGCUCUCUCUCGAUUCGUAGAAACUUGCAAUCUUAUUGAAUUCCCUCUUCAUGGUCAGAAGUUCAUUUGGUCCAACUCCACAUGUAUGAGCAGGAUCGAUAGAGCUUUCGCAAAUCCUCAUUGGUUCUCAAUCUUCCCAAGUAUAAAUCUUAGCGGGUUUUGUCAUGGGCUGUCUGAUCAUUGCCCUAUUUUGUUAUCUUGUGCUGAAACUAAUUGGGGUCCUAGGCCAUUCAGGGUUCUUGAUUGCUGGUGGUAUUCUCCUAAUUUCUUCAAGUUGGUUACUGAUUUUUGGCAGGCAUCUUCUUUGCGAUCUCCCGCCAUUACUUCUGCCUUGAAAGACUUGAAGAACAAAUUGCGUCAUUGGAAUUCUACAUCUUUUGGGAAUGUGGAGGAGAAAGUUUUGGAGAUUGAAAGUCAGAUUGACAAGCUCGAAUCUCUUAAAGAAGCUCGCUUGUUGGCUGAUCCUGAAGUGUCACAAGCCAAGUCAUUUUGUGAGCAGUUAGUAAAGUUCCAUCGUAUGCAAGAGUGCUUAUGGCAGAAAAAAUCCCGGGUCCAGUGGUGCAAUCUAGGUGAUAAAAACACGAAAUUCUUCUACCUUUCUACUGUUGUUAGGGGUUCCAGGAACCCCCUGUCUUCCUUGCUUCUUGAGGAUAGAGUUGUUUCUCAACCGGAUGACAUUAAGAAAGAAGUGAAAGCCUAUUUCAAGUCCCUGUAGUCUCGACAUUCUAGUGAUUUGCUUUCCUGUCAAGACUUGCAUUUCAAGACUAACCCUCAUUCUGUUGCAGCGAUUCUUGAAGCUCCUUUUGAGAUUGAUGAGAUCACUUCGGCUGUCUGGGCUUGCAAAGGGUCCAAAUCUUCAGGGCCUGAUGCGAGUCCCAUAAUGCUUUGAUGAAAGGGCCCCAAUCACUUGAUAGAGUUCUGAUUGCUUCCGAAUUGAUUGAAUACUUGAAGAAGACCAAGCAAGAGAGGUUUCUCUUCAAGAUUGAUUUUCAGAAGGCUUUUGACUGUGUUUCGUGGCAAUUCCUUGAUCAAGUUAUGCACUCCAUGGGUUUCGGGACUCGUUGGAGAGGCUGGAUGAUGCACUGCCUCACGACUGCAAGGGUGUCAGUCCUUGUUAAUGGCUCUCUGACUGAGGAAUUUUCAUUGGAAAGAGGAUUGAGAUAGGGUGAUCCUCUCUCGCCAUUUCUUUUCAAUAUUGCAGUCGAGGGAUUCUGUCAAUUGAUGAAGAAAGCCGAGGCACUGCAUUUCAUUAGAGGUAUUACCUUGCCAAACUCUGAUGUUUGUAUUUCCUUGCUCCAAUUUGUGGAUACUUUGAUUUUUUGCCCUAAUGAUGCCUUGGUGUUGUGCAAUAUCAAGAGGAUUUUAAGACUCUUUGAGCUGAUCUCUGGUCUUAAAGUGAACUUCUUCAAGAGCUCUUUACUCGGCGUUGGUGUCCACCAGGAUCUUGUACUCAGCCUUGCCAAAGACUUGCUUUGCAGGCCUGAUUAUUUACCCAUAUCUUACCUUGGUUUGCCUUUGGGUGUCUCUGCUCGGAAACUUGCCAUAUGGAAACCUGUCUUCGACAAAAUCAAGUGUAAGCUCUCUUCUUGGAGAGGUAAAUUCCUUUCUUUUGGCGGUCGCCUGACUCUCUUGAAAUCUGUAUUGCACAGCUUGCCUGUUUAUUUUCUCUCCAUCUUUCCGGCCCUCAAAACAGUCAUGAAAAGACUGGAGAAGAUUUUCUGGCAUUUUUUGUAGGGAUGAUGUGCUGAAGAAAGAAAGAUGAGCUUGAUUAAAUGGAGCAACAUUCAACUUCCAAAGGCAUCAAGUGGAGCGGGGCUAGGAUCUAUUGACAAUAAAAACAAAGCUUUGCUUUCUAAAUGAGUUUGGAGAUUUGGUUCAAAGAGCAACUCUCUAUGGAAGCGAGUCAUUUGUGCUAUUCAUAAUCUCUCACCAUCGGAUUGGAUUCCCAACAAGUCCCUAAAUUGGUCUGGCAGUACUUGGUACUCUAUUUUCAAGUCUUGUUUUUCAUGAUGAUCUGCUUAGAGACAUUUUGUUCUCUAAUUUGUUCAUAUCUGUUGGUGAUGGAUCUAGAACAAAUUUUUGGCGAGAUAGCUGGAUCGGUGAUGCCCCAUUAUAUGUCAGUUUCCCUCGAUUGUUUUCCGUGGCUACAAGUAAAGAUGCUCUGGCGUCUGAAAUGGGAUUUUAGGACAAUGAUAAAUGGUGUUGGUGCUUCCAUUGGAGAAGAUCUCUUUUAGCUGGGAGGAGGAUCUUCUAAACAAUCUCCUUGACCUGUUUUCUUGUUGGAAAUUUAAUAGGGGUUCUCUUGAUAAGAUCAUAUGGAAGCCUACCACAGAUGGUUCCUUCUUGGUGAAAUCUCUUCGCAAUACUCUGUGCUCAGCUCCUGCGCCCUCCUCAAAUAUCUCUUUCUCAAUCACAUGGCAAGGAUUAGCUCCACAAAAAGUAGAGUUCUUCACUUGGCCGGCCAUUCAAGGGAAAAUUAAUGCCAAGUUGAAUUCGCUCAACAUAGGUAUUCUCUUCUUUGAUCAGUCUUCUUGUAUCUUCGGUAAGCAAGCUCCUGAGGAUGUCAAUCACCUAUUCAUAUUCUGUAACUUCUCCUGAAGCAUCUGGAAUUUUCUCUUGUCUUGGUGGGGUCUCUAUUGGCGUAUGCCUUCCUGUAUUAAUGAUCUCCUUCAGCAAUGGACAAGCUUUGUUUCUGGUAAAUUGCAAAGAAAGUGCUAAAAUUUACUAUUCUAUGCGACGGUUUGGUCUAUUUGGCUUGCAAGAAAUAAAGCUGUCUUUGAAAACCAAUUCUCUACUGUUGAGUAUCUCAUCGAAGUUAUCUUUCGUCGCCUUUCCAUUUGGUUGAAAGCUACCAUUGAAGAUUUCCCAGUCUCAGCAUCUGAGAUCCUGCGAUCCUCAGAGGUUGUUCGCAGAUGGUCCAACUCAAGACCCUCAAGACCUCAUGUAUACUGGAUAGCUCCUCCAGUGGGAUGACUCAAAUGGAAUACCGAUGGCUGAUCCAUUGGAAAACCGGCCCCCUCAGGAAUUGGCGGAGUCUUACACAACUCACAUGGUUCCUUUAUUUGCCUUUUUGCUGCCUCGGCUGGAAUCAUAGAUUCUAAUCUCGCCGAACUACUUGCCAUAAAGCGAGCUCUUCAUCUUUCAAGCUCUCAUUCGGCGAUAUCUGGUUCCUCUCUUAUUUAUCGAAUUGGACUCUUCAACUGUGGUUGGUUGGAUGCAAAAAGGGAUUUGGUGGUCUAUGAAAAUACCGUCAGAUCUUCAUUGACAUUCAUCUCCCCUCUGUUCACUUCAACCGCAUUAAGUUUUAGCACACUCUUAGGGAAGGAAAUGUUGUAGCCAAUUGCUUGGCUAAAUCUGGUGUUGAUAGAAAUCGAGAUUUUGUUGAUUGGCUUUAAGUUCUUUGUUGUUGGCUUUACUUUUCCUAUUGUCGCUCCUCUUCAUGGUUUCUUCCCUUUUGCUGAUUCUUUGUUGUAUUGACUCUAUAUGGCUUUUGUAGCCAUCUCUUACUAAUGAUAAGCUGUGAUUUAUCGGAAAAAAAAAAUCACGUUCCCUGGUCA